UCCGGUAUGGUGUAACGGCUAACAUUGCCGCCUUUCAUGUAAAUAGGCCUCCUGGGUCGCGGCAGCUCGGGGUUCGAUUCCCCGUACCGGAA